GACGAACGCUGGCGGCGUGCCUAAUACAUGCAAGUAGAACGCUGAAGGAGGAGCUUGCUUCUCUGGAUGAGUUGCGAACGGGUGAGUAACGCGUAGGUAACCUGCCUGGUAGCGGGGGAUAACUAUUGGAAACGAUAGCUAAUACCGCAUAAGAGUAGAUGUCGCAUGACAUUUGCUUAAAAGGAGCAAUUGCAUCACUACCAGAUGGACCUGCGUUGUAUUAGCUAGUUGGUGAGGUAACGGCUCACCAAGGCAACGAUACAUAGCCGACCUGAGAGGGUGAUCGGCCACACUGGGACUGAGACACGGCCCAGACUCCUACGGGAGGCAGCAGUAGGGAAUCUUCGGCAAUGGACGGAAGUCUGACCGAGCAACGCCGCGUGAGUGAAGAAGGUUUUCGGAUCGUAAAGCUCUGUUGUAAGAGAAGAACGAGUGUGAGAGUGGAAAGUUCACACUGUGACGGUAUCUUACCAGAAAGGGACGGCUAACUACGUG
rnacentral:rRNA from 1 species